UGCUUAGUUUCCAAGUUUAUCUCAAAACUUCACCUUCUAUGAAUGCCCCCAGGUGGUGCAUAUCUAAAAGCUCUUUGUGCAUUCUUAAGAUUUUUGUAUAUGCAUUUGCGUGAAUUGAGCCCGGAUCUGAUCUGGUUUGGCUAUGUUCAUGGUUUUCUUUGGUCAUGUAUGAGUGGAAAAGGGAGGCAGGGGAGUUCCAGUUUGUGAGGACAGUGGUGACAUGGUUGACUGAAUGGCAAUAGGAAGAAGGCACAUCUCACAUAAUUGUUUUAUUCAAGACAAGUCUACACUCUCUUAUGUCAAAUUUGCACAGAUUUCCCUGCCCUAGGCUAUUUCUAAGGGGGAGAGAAGAGUGUUAUUUUUUUUGGGGAUUACAAAGAAUGGUAGCGCAUGAGGAGUAUUAGCCACGGAGGAGGGAGGAGACUGACAUGAGGAAAACAUAUUCUGGAUCGAUUUGGUUCUCAUGGUUUGGUACUAAUUUCUCAAAAAAUCAUGCUUUUGCAGCACCGUCCUGUUGAGCCAUGAGAUCUGAACCAAGGAAUCCAGAUAACAUCGACUAUGUUUAUAGAUCACUACAUGUUCCGUUGGAACAUUGUGAGGUCCUUUUUCCAGUUUGCUACUAAAUUCUCAAAAAAGAAACGUUCUUAUGCAUCACCAUCAUGUGGAACCACGAUACCUGAACCAAUGAACUCAGUGAACAUUUAUUAUAUUUAUUAUGGAUCAUUACAUGUUCUGCUGGAACAAGGUUCCUUUUCAGUAACAAGUUGAACGCGCGUCAUGCUUUUUUGAAUAUAACUGAAUAUCUAAAAUAGCCAUGGUGUACUGCUGUAUAUAUUUUAAAAUGGCAAGCUUGCAUCUUGAUGUUUGAUUGCUAUGAACUUCCGUAUUAUAAAAUUACUAUAGAUUUCCUUUAAUUCUCCAAAAAGGACAAUUUGUUUGUUUGUUACGGUGCCAAUAGUAACAAAAGAUCAUGAUGAAGUUGAGUAUGUAGAAAUACUUUUUAAGGCGCCUCAUUAUUUGCUGCCAAUGACUGUUUUGCCCCAAUCUCUGGCUUUCCAAACAUAGCAUUGCUAUGCCUCCAACAUUCAUCGAUUGUCAAUUAUUCUCUUAUACAUGACAUUGAUGCCCUGUGUUUGGGUAAUAUGUAUAGAAUUAGUUCCGUUCUACAAGGACCGGAUAUUGUCACAUUGAUUAAGUAUAAUUUUUUCAAGCAUGCUAGAGUAUGGUGGCAUUUUAUAGGCCCUUGAGCUAUAAAAUUUUGUAUGCUCAGUUUCUUGAUCUGUAUUUGCCAUUUGAGCCAAAUUAUCUCAUCAGGGACGCAUCAACAUACAAACUCACC